GUUCUCAGAUCUAUCCAAAGGCCACCAAUAUUGAAAAAUGUUCUUUAAGAGCUUAUUUAUCGUGUGUGCUAUACAAUCACAGAGAAGCAGCCUUGGUCCCUGCCCUAAAGGAGUUUAUUAUCUAAUGCCAUGGCAGCUCUGCAAGCAGCCUCUCAGAGGAAACAUGAAGGUCAUCCAUAACUGCUAACUUUUGCUAUAGCUCUAUCUCCAUCCAGCUCUGGUCUAGGAGAAAAGAAGAUUCCAGCCCGACAAAUCGGACAGUGCUAGAAGAGAUAACCUGUGUGCGCAGGUUAGCUGAAAGGAAGUCAAAAACAGCAGGAAAAAGAAAUAAGCCUUAUCUUGCAAUACGUCUUCAUAAAGUGUGCUUUUAGCAACCAUUUAAAGUAUUUUUUUAAUCAGUUGGAUGUCAAAAGUUACAAAAGUUAGGUGUUUCAUGAGGACUUCUUAGCACCCUGUCUACUGUAGAGCGAAAUCUUGAUUCUCCAACCUGAAACCCAUUUGUUUCCUCCUCAUGCUCCUCAACCUUAACUCAGAACCACUAACAAAAAUAAAAAUGGACUGGAUUUCAGUUA